rnacentral:rRNA from 1 species
GACGAACGCUGGCGGCGUGCUUAACACAUGCACGUCGAACGAAGUGGCGAACGGGUGAGUAACGGGUAAUCAACCUGCCCUUCAGAGGGGGACAACAGUUGGAAACGACUGCUAAUACCGCAUACUGAAGGAGGGGAUUGCGUAUGAUUAGCUAGUUGGAGGGGUAACGGCUCACCAAGGAUAUGAUCAGUAGUCGGGGCGAGGGGGUGAACGGCCCAAUGGUGGUUGAGGCACGCGCCAGGCCCAGACGGUGUGCAGCAGGUGGGAAAUGUGCGCAAUGUACGACAGUCUGACGGGUGCACGCCGCGGUGGUGAAGACGGCCGUUGGGGUGGAAAGCUCUGUUAAUCGGGUCGCGGGACCGGAAUAGAAUGCUACGGCUAAGUACGUGCCAGGAGCCGCAGUAAUAC